rnacentral:rRNA from 1 species
UGAAAUCUCACCAGGCCCGGACACUGGAAGGAUUGACAGAUUGAUAGCUCUUUCUUGAUUCGGUGCGUGGUGGUGCAUGGCCGUUCUUAGUUGGUUGAGUGAUUUGUCGGCUUAAUUUGACUCAACGCGGGAAAUCUCACCAGGCCCGGACACUGGAAGGAUUGACAGAUUGAUAGCUCUUUCUUGUUAGCAAUAA